rnacentral:sRNA from 1 species
AUCACAUCUCCUAUACUCGCUACAUUUUAUUUUUCUCUCCCUACUUCUCUCAAUUGCAAAGGAUACAAGGAAACAGUGUGUAACUAAAUUGAAAUACAAAGAGCCCAUACCUCUAGUUAUUGUUACGAAUCCCUAUUUCACUGGUUAACAGUUUGAAUCUGCUUUGAAUCUAAAGCUGUGAAUGGUAAACAAAACCGCACUCAAAACCGCACCGCAACAGUGCUGUAACAGUAUCAAAAUCUCUACAUAUACAUAUGUAUCUAUGUAUUUUCGUUACUAUUUGAAUCGCACCGCACUUCUCGCGUACCGCAAAACGCAGUUAUUAUUCGGAGCUAAGAGUCACUCAAACCCAAAAAUUGUGGAGAAACAAUGUCAUGAAAAAAAAACCAAAUGCGUUAAAGAACCCUAAUCAAUUGUUUUUCUAUUCAUUUUUAAAUAAGGAAAAGAUGACAGCACAGUAAUUAAUAAAAUCUUCCAUAUCUCUAUUUUAAGCUAUAU